rnacentral:rRNA from 1 species
GAUGAACGCUAGCUACAGGCUUAACACAUGCAAGUCGAGGGGCAGCACAGUGUAGCAAUACACGGGUGGCGACCGGCGCACGGGUGCGUAACGCGUAUCCAACCUUCCCGUUACUCCGGGAUAGCCUUCCGAAAGGGAGAUUAAUACCGGAUGGUGUUUGAAGUCCGCAUGAAAUUCAAACUAAAGAUUUAUCGGUAACGGAUGGGGAUGCGUACCAUUAGAUAGUAGGCGGGGUAACGGCCCACCUAGUCGACGAUGGUUAGGGGUUCUGAGAGGAAGGUCCCCCACACUGGAACUGAGACACGGUCCAGACUCCUACGGGAGGCAGCAGUGAGGAAUAUUGGUCAAUGGACGAGAGUCUGAACCAGCCAAGUAGCGUGCAGGAUGACGGCCCUCUGGGUUGUAAACUGCUUUUAGUUGGGAAUAAAAAGAGGGACGUGUCCCUAAUUGUAUGUACCAUCAGAAAAAGGACCGGCUAAUUCCGUGCCAGCAGCCGGGU